ACCCCUUUCCCCGGCCUCCAAGCAUGGUCCUGGUCUGUGCGGCGGGGACAGCUAGGGCCAUCAGGUUCAAGUGGAGGGGGAUGGGCCUCCUGGCUCCGGUACCUUUGCAGGUGGAGGAAUGGUCCACCCUAUGAGGUGCGGAUGCUUGGUAACACCAGACUGAGUGACGCUACUGCCUGGGCCUGGCUAUUGAAGAUGUGCCCCUGUCCAUGGGGGUGAUCGAACCCCAGAUGCUGCUCUCACCACUCAACACAGUGGAGUUUCACUGGAACCUCCCAAUGCAGUUUGGAGUUUUAAGUUGCAAGUUUCAAGUAUCUUGAAGUUUCAAGAGGAUCUCCCUCUUCCGGUGGAUUCACUGCAUCAGCACCGUGUUUGCUCCUUCCAAGACGGGUGGAUAGAAAGGUGUCCCACCUCCAGAUCCACACCUUCAAGGCCAGCGACGGCGCACCUGCAACUCAACUGGCUGCCUCACCAAAGCGUUCAAGGCCUCUUCCACAGUGUGGCCCUGACUCUGCAGGCACUGAUCUGCUGAAGCUUACCCGCCAGGAUCUCGUCCAGAUCUGCAGGGCUUCGGAUGGGAUCUGCCCUCUCAGUGCUCUUCGAGCAAAUGCUCUUCCUGCUGGGCACUUUCUCUCUGUAGUUGUGUUUACCAACUCAGCUAAUGGUUGUGACUCGUGGCAUAGUCAAGCUGUAAGGUAACUUAAAGACCAUUUAGUCCCACGCCCUCUUUUUACAGAGGAAGAAACUCAGCCCCCCCCCCCCCCCCCGACAGUGACCUACCUGCUUGAGAUCAAGAACAAAGCUGGUAGGGAUGAGCUAAAAGGUUAGGCUCCUGUGACCUCCUUUUUCUGGACCCAUCCUACCCGCAUCACUCCAUUUCUGAGGACAGAGAUGGAUUUUUCUCGUCUUCUCUUCCCCCAGGGUCCACCAUUCAUAAAAUGUCUUAAGAAAUGAGUGGUGACCUCCCUCCCUGGAGACCUGGCAGGAGUUGGGAUCCCUCCCAGGGAGGGGCUGUUAAUUUAGGUGUGAAGUGUUGAUACAUAAACUUCCUGGCCCAGGCCCAUUUGUCACCAGCUGACUGCAUGUGGCUCAGCAGGCCUCUAGGCAAGAGAAGGAGGUUCCUAAGAACCCCAGCUCAGGUGAGGUUCUGGUCUCUCUCUGCAGGUGAGAUUCAGGUGUGGCUGCUCAGAACAUCUUCUUGCCUGGGGAGAGGGUGAUCCUCCAUCAUUCCUGGGACCGAGAUGCCUUACCUGGCAUUCCUCGGUCUUCUGUGACCAGAUUAGUCCUCUCCUUCCAAGAUGUCCCCUGGGAUUAUUCCUCCAUGUUCCAUUCCCUAAACCUAUCAUUGUCAUUGUCGAUAUGUGGCAUUAGAACAUUAUAAUCCUACUGUAUUAGAGUUUCAGUCAUUCAUAUGCCUGGUGGCCCCCCUUUUUAAAUUGGGGGCUCCCCUCAGUCUGAGGCCUCCCCAAAGCUGAGAAAUAGGUGAGGAUUAAAUGGAUUAAACCUUUUUCCUUUACUCCUUCCUGCCCCCGUCCCACAAGAAGCUAAUCACCUUGUCCUCUCCUUCCUGGUCUCUGGGGCUCUCUCAGCCGCCCCCGGCCCCCACCCCCGCCACUGAUUCCCGCCCUGUGCUGCUCACAUCCUCAGGCUUUUAUCAAGAGAUCUCUCUAGAUGAACUCAGCGCUGUGCAGCUGUCUGUGAAGCUGGCUGAGUUCUUGGCCCUCCCAGCCCAUCAGAUCUGCUGCCCCACCCUGGGGGCGUCUUUGUUCUCCUCAGUGACCAGGUAAGGGAGCCCUGGCUCUCUGCCAGGCCCCACAGCGGCCUUGAUCACUGUCCCACCGGGAGCCGCAUGCCCUUCUCCCUGCCCUGGCUUUUUCUGUUUGGCUCGAAGAACAGAACUAUCCGAAUGACCCCUUCUCCCUGGCAGGUGGUUCAGAAUCUUGAGAAUGAGUCAUACUUUGUGGCUGUGGGGAACAAAGGUAGGGGUUUUAGAGGAGAAAGAAGUCUGGCAGGCCCUAGAAAGGGCAAGAUUGUGUUUAUUUUGUCUCCUGAAUGGGACUAAAAGAUGCUGUGAAGGUGUGUGUUCAUGGGGGUGGGGUGGGGCUUGUGCCGUUUUUCCAGUCAGCUGGUAAACAUCUGAAUGCCCGUUUUGUUGGUGUCAAAGGGCCAGAUCCCUGUGGCUGCAAGGCUGUUUGCCACUCAGGGAGAAAACGUCCCAGUUUCUAGGCCAUGGAAUAGAACAGAGAGGAAGGUAAGGCCCCCCUCUUUUCUGCCCCCGCCCCCCAUCCUGCAAGACAGAAGAUGCUUGCUGGACAUCACCUGGCACAGAGCACCUCUGACCGGCUGCCCUGGGGUUCUCAUUAUUCAGAGAUGCCAGCCCUCUAUCCCUCCUACAGGACAGAGGGAGGCUUCCUCAAGUUGGAGGAGGAAGAACACCCGGGUGUGGGAGGUGCACUGCCCGCUGCUUGGUUUGGGAGCAGCAGAGAAGCUGUGGUUGGCUUGUCUCACCCCAGUGGUGCCUUUCUCACUGCUUUCAGUGCAGAAUCCGGACGGCCACUUCCUGGUUCUUACCCAGGCCCAGGGGCACACGGCUGCAAGAGCUGGAGACUGACACCAGCCUGGUUCUUGGGGGCCCUACAUUCACCAGAAGCCUUGUUUAAAUCCUCAGCAGCUUCAUCGGGCUCAAGGUGAAGCAUCAUGUCCAACCACUAGAAAGGAGUGGAGCAGCCCCCAGGCCCGUCUCUCUUCUGCUGGCCAAGGCCGUGAGGCACAAAACCUGCCCCUGUGGAGAAGGCGCCUUUGCCCCAAGCAGAGCCGCCCGAACACUGGGUGCAGGGGUUCAGGUUUGUUUAAAAUUGUAUUCACCCUUCGUUUUUCUUAAAAUUAAAAGUUAAUUUAAAAAGACAUAUAUGGGGGCGCCUGGGUGGCUCAGUGGGUUAAAGCCUCUGUUUUCAGCUCAGGUCAUUAUCUCAGGGUCCUGGGAUCGAGCCCCGCAUCGGACUCUCUGCUCAGUGGAGAGCCUGCUUCCCCCUCUCUCUCUGUCUGCCUCUCU